CCAGAAACUAAUAUCGAAGUGGGGGAGGGGAACAAAGACCCACGAGUACAUUACCAACGACAGAGAGAGUGACACAUCUCCUUACCGGCAGGUUCCGGGUCGCAGAACGAGCAGCGCUCGGUCAAAGAUGGCAGGGGCUUGCUGAGGCGUAGCAACACUGCCAGCUUCGCUUUCCCUUGCUUAGCCCAUGAGUAAUGCUCCGACCAGAGCGCAGGGGCUGGGCCAUGAGGGUUCAUUAACCCGGCUGAAGCUUGAUGAGCUGGAAAACUAACCUAAACUUCAAUGUUUUAGCCGAGCAAAAGCUCCACAGAGGACAGUAAUUUCACCCAGUACGGCAAGUGCAUCUGAGGACCACUGUACGUUGGCCUGAGUUGACAAUGAUGUUGGCGUGGGAGAGAAUGCACACACUGACCGCGAGCUGACCGCUGCGUUUACGACCCAGGGGCUCCACUUCCAGAUGACUGCAGACAAGAGUUUCACUUGACCUUCGCUGUUAUGACCAUCAGGCCGAGACCUGACCUGUCCGGUGUGGUUCACAGGGACAUUUUAGGUCAGUGAUGGAGAGUUUCGGGGAGAGCCGGCCUGGUGCCCGGUGAGCCUGAAAGUGAUAGUACACACAUAAAUCAGUCUGACGCGGGGCCAUAACUUCUCAAAGAUAAAAGGUGCAAGGCCCUGACCCUCUCGGUCCAGAGCUGAGACAAAGUUUCACAUGAACAGCUUGUGGUUCACACGCUUAGUUUUGGGGUUAAAGAGAUGGUAUGUCAGGCUACAGCUUAGUGCAACUACAUUCUUUAAAAACAGCAACUGGGAAAAAACGUGUAAAUGAGUAGAUCGAUACCGCUCUCAUUUAUGUCCUUUACAUUUUAAGCAAGAGCAAAGAGGUGGUUAUCUUAGCCUUUCAUAAGACUGCUUUGUCUUCACAAAAUGAAUAAAACAGAAAUGGAGCACUC